rnacentral:rRNA from 1 species
UACGUAGGAGACAAGCGUUAUCCGGAAUUACUGGGCGUAAAGCGCGCGCAGGCGGCAGCUUAAGUCUGACGUGAAAUCUCCUGGCUUAACUGGGAGAGGUCGUUGGAAACUGGGCAGCUUGAGGUGGUGCGAGGGGUGCAGAAUUCCCGGUGUAGUGGUGGAAUGCGUAGAUAUCGGGAGGAAUACCAGUGGCGACAGCGGCGCCCUGGCACUGACCUGUCGCUCAUGUGCGAAAGCGCGGGGAGCAAACGGG